GACGAACGCUGGCGGCGUGCUUAACACAUGCAAGUCGAACGAAGUGGCGAACGGGUGCGUAAUACGUGGGUAACCUGCCCUACUUUUUGGGAUAAGCCUUGGAAACGGGGUCUAAUACCGAAUAAAGGGGGAUGGGCUCGCGGCCUAUCAGCUUGUUGGUGGGGUGAUGGCCUACCAAGGCGGUGACGGGUAGCCGGCAUGAGAGGUUGACCGGCCGGAUUGGGACUGGGAUAGGGGCAAGAUUGCUGCGGGGGGCAGCAGUGGGGGAUAUGGCACAAUGGGCGAGAGCCUGGUGCGGCGGAGCCGGGUGGGGGAUGAAGGCUUUCGGGUUGUAAGCAUGUUUCGCUAUCGAACGGGUAGGUGGAGGAGUAGCGGCGGCUGACUACGGACCAGCAGCCGCGGUAAUUC
rnacentral:rRNA from 1 species